AAAACCUGACAGGGGAGAUACCAUGAUCAUGAAGGUGGUUUUCCCAGGACAAAGUUUAUCCAUUGUACUCCAGAUGCGCUGACUGCUGUGAUUUCUCCAAAUUUGAGAAACUUGACUGCAUUAUUUGUGGCAGUGGGGGGGCUGUAUUUGUGCCCUCUCCUG